GCGGACCUCUAUCGACUACCACAUCUGAUUUUAAUCUGGCGUAGUAGGGUUUAUCCGUCGACCAUUUGGGGGAAUGGGACCGCACAACGGUUGUAUGCGGACCUCUAUCCGUCGCAUAAGCACCCGUCCGAUGGACGACACGUCUACUGACUGAAGCAUCCAACGGUUCGAAUCUCUCGAUGAAUGCUUGAAACCCAUCUCUCUUCUCGACCUUCGCCGGCCAAUUUCCCUUCGACAUGGAGACGAGGCCUUCGAUCUUCCUCGCCGCCACCACGGUCGAGGAGUUCCUUCAGGCGAUCAAUCCCCGUCAUCAUGGUCUUUCGCCACUUAGGGUUCCGAGAUGGCGAAACUGGAUCUGCGAACCUUGAGCAAGACGAGGUAGGCGAAAUGCUUGACUUCUUUCCUUCUCUGUUGUUAUGCAGUGCGGCUGAAGACUUGGGCUUUGCGACAGCGUUUGGAUAAGGUGGUUUCCAGUGGGAGGAGCGAGGUAUUAGCUUCAUGCUAUCACUUCAUUGCUAUUUCGAUAAAGGUCUCUUCUGAAAUCGGAGCUAUGAGAGAGUUUAUGCCGGUGGCCAAUUAGCCAGUCACACCCUCGCAGCUGUAAUGGCUGUAAUCUUUGUGUGAAUGGUCAGUAAGCACACCGAUAGUAACUGUGUGUUUGCGUCCUUUGAGGGCAUCAGAGGCUUAUGAAGUCUCAAAAGAGAACUCUAAUGCGGGCAGGAGAGCGGUAUUUAAAGUACACCAGUUGGCAAUGCUUUUCUUGGUGGUGAAUUGAGGUAGUGUCCUCCACCUGCUAUCAGCCUUGGAGAUACAUUGUCAGUAAUAUAACAUCUAUACUGUUGUAAACAAUUAUGUAUUUUAGUUGUAUCACACAAAAAAUUCUUUCAUAUUUGUAACCUUAUCACUGUACAGCAGAACAUUAUUAUUAGUGUACCUUAGAAAUCAUUAUUAUUGUUGA